UGAAAAUUGAGUGAGACAAGUAAAUAGCCAAAAAUCGGUCAGAUACAAUUUACUCUCUUUCUCUUUCUUCUACUCAUCUUCUCUUUCUCUCAUGUUCAUUUCUCUCAUCUUACUCUUCAUGAUACCUGAAAGAAAGAGAGAGAAAGAGAAAGGGAGGGAUAAUGAAGAUAACUAAUUCAAGUUUCAAGCCGAAGAUAUUGCAAAAGAUUGAGUGGCUGAAGCUGGCGCUGUAAACUCCAUUACCAGGAAGACCAACAGUAAGACUGGUAAAGAGAGUAGGAUGAUAAGGUUGGUUCUUCUUUCUCACCAUUCUCAUCAUCAUCAUCAACAACAACAACUACAUCAACAUUAACAUCAUUUUCCUCAUCAUCGUCUUCUAAAUCGUGGUAAAUAUCAAUUCUCCUCCGCCCAAUGUUUUCAGUUUUAUCACUUGUUUGCUAUCUUUAUUCACAUGCUUUAUAUAAUUUAUUGUAUCAACCAUCUUCUCGAUCAUUUAUCCUCCUUCCAACUUAAUCCCAUCUUGUUUAUUGGUCACAAAAACAGUUUAUCUUGUCUAGUAUAUUGCAUGCAAUGGAGGAUCAGCUGAAUGGCAGUUCGCUAGGUAACUUGCUAUUACCAGAAGCCUUUGGACACGAUUUUUUGAUUACAGGCCAAUGUGAAGCUGUUGAUAACCUUAAGGGAGACGUCGAGGGUGAUUUGGAUGAACGAUUAAAGCAAUUGGACAAGAUGACAAAGGUCAAAGCCAAGAUGACCUGAAAGGAGCAGAUUUGUGGAUUAAUGGUCGCCAUUCAUCUCAUGUCAUUUUAACACUUGCAAGAUGAUAUUGAUUGUUAGCUUAAGGUUGAUUGAGUUUACUAAUUUAGUUACAUCCUCGAGGAAAAGCGUAAUUGAAAUGAAAUUUAAAAGCAAAAUUUUCCCAUUUAAUUGCUGUAAUAAUUUUUAGGUUAAUGUCAACAAUUUUUUUAACACUAUCAAGCUGAUGGCGAUGGUGAUGAGACCGGUGCAGACAAAAAUUGUCACAAAUUUGAAAAUUGAUGGCAAUAACAUUUGACUGAAAUGAUGUGAGAAAAUGCUGUCAACCAAUUUAAAGUGGAUAAAUUAAAUUGUUGAAAUCUUUCAAUCUUUCAAUGUUGA